UAUGUAGGUCCCGAGCGUUGUCCGGAUUUAUUGGGCGUAAAGCGAGCGCAGGUGGUUUAUUAAGUCUGGUGUAAAAGGCAGUGGCUCAACCAUUGUAUGCAUUGGAAACUGGUAGACUUGAGUGCAGGAGAGGAGAGUGGAAUUCCAUGUGUAGCGGUGAAAUGCGUAGAUAUAUGGAGGAACACCGGUGGCGAAAGCGGCUCUCUGGCCUGUAACUGACACUAAGGCUCGAAAGCGUGGGGAGCAAACAGG
rnacentral:rRNA from 1 species